rnacentral:rRNA from 1 species
UACGGGGGGAGCAAGCGUUGUUCGGAUUUACUGGGCGUAAAGGGCGCGUAGGCGGCCACCGCAAGUCGAUUGUGAAAUCUCCGGGCUUAACCCGGAAAGGUCAACUGAUACUGUGCGACUAGAGUGCGGAAGGGGCAACUGGAAUUCUCGGUGUAGCGGUGAAAUGCGUAGAUAUCGAGAGGAACACCUGCGGCGAAGGCGGGUUGCUGGGCCGACACUGACGCUGAUGCGCGAAAGCCAGGGGAGCAAACGGG